ensembl:lncRNA
CCUUAUGGCUCUAAUCUGGUAGUGGUAGUGGGGUGGUAGUUGUCUAGUCUCCCUUAUGGCUCUAAUCUGAUAGUGGUGUGGGGUGGUAGAUGUCUAGUCUCCCUUGUGGCUCUAAUCUGGUAGUGGGGUGGGGUGGUAGUUGUCUAGUCUCCCUUAUGACUCUAAUCUGGUAGUGGGGUGGUAGAUACCUUGUCUCCAUUAUGGCUCUAAUCUGAUGGUGGGGUGGUAGAUGCCUAGUCUCCAUUAUGGCUCUAAUCUGAUGGUGGUAGUGGGGUAGUAGUUGUCUAGUCUCCCUUAUGACUCUAAUCUGGUAGUGGGGUGGUAGAUGCCUAGUCUCCGUUAUGGCUCAAAUCUUAUAGUGAUAGUGAGGUGGUAGAUCCCUACUCUCCCUUAAAUAUCUAAUCUGGUAGUGGGGUGGUAGAUCCAUAGUCUCCUUUAUGGCUCUAAUCUGGUAGUGGGGUGGUAGAUGCCUCGUCUCCCUUAUGGCUCAGAUCAGGUGAGACUGGGAAGGAGAGAGUGAGAGACUGGGAAGGAGAGAGCGAGAGACUGGGAAGGGAGAGACACAGAGAGAGUUCAAUAAUCUCCCCAUCAUCACUAUCACCAGCCAGCUCCCACUCUAAUGGUUGUUUGUUUACUGUAACGAGCUGCUACACAGACACACACUAAUGUGAUUGGUUCUGAGGGAGAAAAUGAAUAUGAAUAGUAGCAAUUCUAAAGGAAAGCCUCUUGUUGGUGGAAAAAAUUCCGCUUUUAAACAGACUUUUAAACACUCACUCCCGGUAAUGCCGUCGUGAACGCAGUCAACACACUCCCGGAAUAGAACCACACAUCAGCAGAUAGUCAACAGUCAUCAGAUAUAAUCACAUUCUUCAUGUUCCUGAGGUUUAUUGAUGUUUAUUUCACUCCGUCAUACCCGUGUGUGAUUUAAUCUAUGAUCAUAACCGACCCGGGAUUAGGGCCUGUAUGAUCUGGAAUGUACAUGUCAUUGAGACUCAUGUGGAAGUACAGUCAUGGUGGCAGU